AUUGAACGCUGGCGGCAGGCCUAACACAUGCAAGUCGAGCGAGCGGCGGACGGGUGAGUAAUGUAUGGGGCCUGCCCGAUAGAGGGGGAUAACUACUGGAAACGGUAGCUAAUACCGCAUACUAUCGGAUAACCCAUAUGGGAUUAGCUAGUAGGUGAGGUAAUGGCUCACCUAGGCGACGAUCCCUAGCUGGUCUGAGAGGACGACCAUCCACACUGGGACUGAGACACGGCCCAGACUCCUACCUUGUCAUCAGUUUACAAUUUUGGACAAUGGGGGAAACCCUGAUCCAGCCAUCCCGCGUGUAUGAUGAAGGCCUUCGGGUUGUAAAGUACUUUUGGCAGAGAAGCGGUAUCUGCAGAAUAAGCACCGGCUAACUACGUGCCAGCAGCCGCGGUAAUUC
rnacentral:rRNA from 1 species